UACGGGGGGGGCAAGCGUUGUUCGGAAUUAUUGGGCGUAAAGGGCGCGUAGGCGGCCAUGCGUGUCUUCCGUGAAAUCCCUCGGCUUAACUGAGGACGUGCGGAAGAAACUGCAAGGCUUGAGUCCGGGAGAGGGGGGUGGAAUUCCCAGUGUAGCGGUGAAAUGCGUAGAUAUUGGGAGGAACACCGGUGGCGAAGGCGGCCCCCUGGACCGGUACUGACGCUGAGGCGCGAAAGCGUGGGUAGCAAACGGG
rnacentral:rRNA from 1 species